GUUAAGUCUGUUUUGUGAACUACCUGCAAGGAGCUAAUGGACAGCUAAAUGAACUGCUAGUUUGCACCCUUGGAAAGUGGAGCGAGUUUCACGGUGCUGGAAGAGCGACAAUAAAUGUCAUUGCACCCGUUU